UCUUUGGUUGAAUAGCUUAAACCGACGUUAAAAGAGGUUGAAUACAAUGAGUUGGUUGAUGUCGCACUAGUAAGUGCAGGAAGAAAUAUGAUGUGGGAAUAUGAUUGCUAAGAGAGAAUUAACAUGGGGAUCAUUACACAUAAAGAUUGCAAAAGAGGUUCAUGAAGGCAAUGAAGUCUUGAUUAGUUUGCUACUUUUUAGACAUUAG
rnacentral:lncRNA from 1 species